GGGGAAUUUUGGACAAUGGGCGCAAGCCUGAUCCAGCAAUGCCGCGUGCAGGACGAAGGCCUUCGGGUUGUAAACUGCUUUUGUACGGAACGAAAAGCCUUCUUCUAAUACAGGAGGGUCAUGACGGUACCGUAAGAAUAAGCACCGGCUAACUACGUGCCAGCAGCCGCGGUAAUACGUAGGGUGCAAGCGUUAAUCGGAAUUACUGGGCGUAAAGCGUGCGCAGGCGGUUGUGUAAGACAGGUGUGAAAUCCCCGAGCUUAACUUGGGAAUUGCACUUGUGACUGCACGGCUAGAGUGCGGCAGAGGGGGAUGGAAUUCCGCGUGUAGCAGUGAAAUGCGUAGAUAUGCGGAGGAACACCGAUGGCGAAGGCAAUCCCCUGGGCCUGCACUGACGCUCAUGCACGAAAGCGUGGGGAGCAAAC
rnacentral:rRNA from 1 species